rnacentral:rRNA from 1 species
GACGAACGCUGGCGGCGUGCCUAAUACAUGCAAGUCGAGCGGACAGAAGGGAGCUUGCUCCCGGAAGUUAGCGGCGGACGGGUGAGUAACACGUGGGCAACCUACCCUGUAGAUCGGGAUAACAUCGAGAAAUCGGUGCUAAUACCGGAUAAUCAUUUGAAGUGCAUGCUUCGAAUGUAAAUGAUGGCUCCGGCUAUCACUACGGGAUGGGCCCGCGGCGCAUUAGCUGGUUGGUAAGGUAAUGGCUUACCAAGGCAACGAUGCGUAGCCGACCUGAGAGGGUGAUCGGCCACACGGGGACUGAGACACGGCCCAGACUCCUACGGGAGGCAGCAGUAGGGAAUCUUCCGCAAUGGACGAAAGUCUGACGGAGCAACGCCGCGUGAGUGAUGAAGGUUUUCGGAUCGUAAAGCUCUGUUGUUAGGGAAGAACAAGUGCCGUUUGAAUAAGGCGGCACCUUGACGGUACCUAACCAGAAAGCCACGGCUAACUACGUGCCAGCCGCCGCCGUAAAAC